rnacentral:rRNA from 1 species
AGUAACGCGUGGGUAACCUGCCUUGUACAGGGGGAUAACAGUUGGAAACGGCUGCUAAUACCGCAUAAGCGCACGGCAUCGCAUGAUGCAGUGUGAAAAACUCCGGUGGUAUAAGAUGGACCCGCAUUGGAUUAGCUAGUUGGUGAGGUAACGGCCCACCAAGGCGACGAUCCAUAGCCGACCUGAGAGGGUGACCGGCCACAUUGGGACUGAGACACGGCCCAA